rnacentral:rRNA from 1 species
UACGUAGGGGGCAAGCGUUGUCCGGAUUUAUUGGGCGUAAAGAGCGUGUAGGCGGCCAGGUAGGUCUGCUGUGAAAACUCGAGGCUUAACCUCGAGCUGUCGGCGGAAACCAUCUGGCUAGAGUCCGGAAGAGGAGAAUGGAAUUCCCGGUGUAGCGGUGAAAUGCGUAGAUAUCUGGAGGAAUACCGGUGGCGAAGGCGGCAUCCUGGACCGACAUUGACGCUGAACGGCGAAAGCUAGGGGAGCAAACGGG